GCGCACAGGACCGCAUGGUCUGGUGUGAAAAACUCCGGUGGUAUACGAUGGACCCGCGUCUGAUUAGAUAGUUGGUGAGGUUAACGGCCCACCAAGUCAACGAUCAGUAGCCGGCCUGAGAGGGUGAACGGCCACAUUGGGACUGAGACACGGCCCAAACUCCUACGGGAGGCAGCAGUGGGGAAUGUUGGACAAUGGGGGAAACCCUGAUCCAGCGACGCCGCGUGAGUGAAGAAGUAUUUCGGUAUGUAAAGCUCUAUCAGCAGGGAAGAUAAUGACGGUACCUGACUAAGAAGCUCCGGCUAAAUACGUG
rnacentral:rRNA from 1 species